CUAAUUUUGCACGGAUACGAUUUCGCCCAGAUUUUGCACGAGUCAGAUUCUCAAAAGCAUCUUCUGGGAAAACGUAAUCAAUAUGUAUGACAUCAUCUGCAUAUGUGUCAUAGAUUGGAUCACCAUAGAUCUCUCUGUAGAUCUCAUGGUUUUCUUCUUCUUCAGAAAAGAGGCUUUCGCCUGUGAUAGGAUAGAUGCUACCAAACAUCAUGACAAACAGAAUCGAGCUCUGAUUAAGAAAUCAAAGCACCAGCUCUGAUACCAA
rnacentral:lncRNA from 1 species